UACGUAGGGUGCAAGCGUUUGUCCGGAAUUAUUGGGCGUAAAGGGCUCGUAGGCGGUCCAUCGCGUCGGGAGUGAAAAGCUGGGGCUUAACCCCAGUCCUGCUUUCGAUACGGGUGGACUAGAGGUAGGCAGGGAGAACGGAAUUCCUGGUGUAGCGGUGAAAUGCGCAGAUAUCAGGAGGAACACCGGUGGCGAAGGCGGUUCUCUGGCCUUACCUGACGCUGGAGGAGCGAAAGCGUGGGAGCAAACAGG
rnacentral:rRNA from 1 species